rnacentral:lncRNA from 1 species
GCACGCUCAGAGCAAAGCCAGGCCGUGCCCAAACCUCCCCUCGGGUCCCCAUCCUUCCCGCGGGGCCAGCAGCACCACGAGCAUCACGAGCAGAGCACGGGGUCGCGGUGCUUUACCUCUUAGGGCAAGGGCCAUGUCCAAAGCCUGGGGCUGUGCCUGGCCUCUUCUCAGCGGCACGAGGGCUAGUGGUUCUCCAGAUCCUCUCCGCGCCAGAGCCGGCGGCACCGGCUCUUGGCCUCCGCCAAGGUGCAUCGGCCUCUGCAGGAAGGACCUCAAAGCCCCCACGGCUUUCUUCACCUCGGAGGCUGGCGUGGUGAAGAUAAGCCCCCGCCAGCCCCCCCUGUUCCGAGGCCCGUCGGGGAAGAAGUGUUCGUACAGCUCCGGGACCGUGGCAGCCUGGGGCUCUUUGGCCAGCGCCAGGUCGGGUUCCUCUUUCUGCUGAUCGUGGUCCAAGCUGCUGAACUUCUUUCGCUUCCUCUCUUUACCCUUGACUUUUUUCCUGUUUCCUUCAGGUUCAUUGAAAAAAUAUUCAUACAGUUCAGGCAAGGACAUUUCCCUUUCCAAGGGUGUUUUCUCGCCCUCCACCGAGUUCCCCAUGGCUUCUUCUUCCCCUUGGGAGUCACAGAACAAAUAGUCGUACAUCUCGGGCCAAGUCACAUCCAGCGAGUUUGCCCUUGCGCAGCCCCCUGCUGCGGAGCCUGGGGGGCUCACCUCCACGGGGGGCUCGGCUGCGGGCUCCCCAGGGCCCCCCCUGGCAGCAUCCCCUGCAGGAACGGCCACGCUUUGGGGACGGAGAGCCUUCCCCUCCCGGCACACCUCUCCCGGAGGAUCUGGGGCUGCGGUGAAUGCGUUCCAGAGACAACGCAGCUGAGAAAUGUGGGUUUGAUUACAAACAAGCCCUCCCUGCCCUGAGCGAGAGCCAUCACAUGGUGUCUGCACGGGGAGGAAGAGAGCGAUGAGUUUGCAGGAAGAGGGAUGGGGGAAUAAAAAAAAAAAUUAAAAAAAAAAAAGUGCAGAUGGUGGCAGGGAGCGGGGAGCGCCGUGAGCCCUCCCUCGGGGUGGGGAGCGGGCAAACCCUGAAUUUGCCCCCCCAAAAAGCCCGGAGGUUGCAGCCACUCGUGCCGAGGAAGGGG